GAUGAAGAACGUAGCGAAAUGCGAUAAGUAGUGUGAAUUGCAGAAUUCAGUGAAUCAUCGAAUCUUUGAACGCACAUUGCGCCUUCUAGUAUUCUGGGAGGCAUGCCUGUUUGAGCGUCAUUAAACAUCUCUCAAGUAUGAUUACUUGGAUGUGAAGGAAGAGUACCUUAAACUUAAGGAGUGUUCUCCUUUGAAAUUGAUUAGCAGAUGGUAAUGUUAUUAAAUCCCUGAUGUUGUAAGAAAUAACAGUGGUUUUGUAGACUAUUAUCUAGCUUUAAAUUAUAAUUUUUAUUAUGGUUGACCUCAAAUCAGGUAAGGAUACCCGCUGAACUUAAGCAUAUCAAUAAGCGGAGGA
rnacentral:misc_RNA from 1 species